CCUGCGGGUGGCAGCAGUGGGGAAUAUUGGACAAUGGGCGAAAGCCUGAUCCAGCCAUGCCGCGUGUGUGAAGAAGGCCUUCGGGUUGUAAAGCACUUUCAGUGGGGAAGAAAGCCUUGGGGCUAAUACCCUCGAGGAAGGACAUCACCCACAGAAGAAGCACCGGCUAACUCCGUGCCAGCAGCCGCGGUAAUACGGAGGGUGCGAGCGUUAAUCGGAAUUACUGGGCGUAAAGCGCGCGUAGGCGGUCUGAUAAGCCGGUUGUGAAAGCCCCGGGCUCAACCUGGGAACGGCAUCCGGAACUGUCAGGCUAGAGUGCAGGAGAGGAAGGUAGAAUUCCCGGUGUAGCGGUGAAAUGCGUAGAGAUCGGGAGGAAUACCAGUGGCGAAGGCGGCCUUCUGGACUGACACUGACGCUGAGGUGCGAAAGCGUGGGUAGCAAACAGGAUUAGAUACCCUUGUAGUC
rnacentral:rRNA from 1 species